AACGAACGCUGGCGGCGUGGAUAAGACAUGCAAGUCGAACGGGAUUUUUUUCUGUAGCAAUACAGAGAAAAGUCUAGUGGCGAACGGGUGCGUAACACGUGAGCAACCUGCCGUGAAGUGGGGGAUAGCUCGCCGAAAGGCGAAUUAAUACCGCAUGUGGCCAAGGAAGACAUCUUCCUGACGCCAAAGCCGGGGCAACCUGGCGCUUCUCGAGGGGCUCGCGGCCUAUCAGCUUGUUGGUGAGGUAACGGCUCACCAAGGCUAUGACGGGUAGCUGGUCUGAGAGGACGACCAGCCACACUGGAACUGAGACACGGUCGAGACACCUACGGGUGGCAGCAGUCGAGAAUUUUUCACAAUGGGGGAAACCCUGGUGGAGCGACGCCGCGUGGAGGAUGAAGGUUUUCGGAUUGUAAACUCCUGUCAUUAGAGAACAAGGCACACGGUUUAACUGGCCGUGUGUUGAUAGUAUCUGAAGAGGAAGAGACGGCUAACUCUGUGCCAGCAGCAGCCGCCG
rnacentral:rRNA from 1 species